CCCAUAUCGAUUACAGCCCCAGUCAAGUAGUUUGAGUUUAUCAACAUGACUACCUUAGCCGUCUCUCCAGCAUACAUCAGCCUCAAACGAUCUCUUUCCCGGAUUAUCUAUCCGUACGAUUACACCCUUCAGUUCAUGCGGACACAAGCGAUAUCGCUUCUGCGGCUAAUCCACCUGUAAUUAACGACUUCAGCCCUGCUAUAAUUUAUCGACAUGAUGAUAUCAAAUGCUCGAGGGAAAAAUUGUGGGCUGAAAAUUUAUGGAUAAGAUUCAUUGAUUGAGAGGCCAACGCUUAGGCUUUUUUCAGCCCAUCUAGUACUGAGUUGGGCAAUGACGGCAGCAAUGCUGCUGAUGGUUUAGAUGAAGGUAUAACGGGGGAAGAGGGCCAUGAGAUGGCGGCACUGGAGAUUUGGGCAGGCUUGAUCGGGAGUUGGGCUUCACGAAGAUCUGAAAGGCUAAAUCCUGACACAGCUCAAACCAAUCUUUCCAGUAACAGCAUUGUACACUUGACCACGAUCUUCUGGCCAAACUGGACACAUGAGCGCUUAGCGCCGGCACAAACAAGGGUUCAAAUCUGAUCUUCCUCCCUUGUGAGGUCAUGUUAGGUUUCUCUUCUACCGUCUUUCGUAUGUGAUCAACAAUCUAUCCACAGUAAUGACUGAGCCUGUGGACCUCGCUCUUUCUCGCCGGGUUCCAUACCCCCGAUCCGCCAAUGUUUGGGUUCCAAACCAUGAUCAUUGAACAAUCGAAACUCAAGCUCACUUUCCGGAAGUAGUUGGGCCAGAUGUCAACUCAGAGACUUUUUGCAUUUCAGGAGUCAAUGAGAAUGAUACUUCAGAGGACGACGAUUCGACUUCCCAAGACCCAUUUAGUCAUUUUGAGAAAACUUCUUAAGCGUCGCAGAUUGACAUUCCGACUCGUGACCCGUGGAGAAAUGGGCAUAAGUUUCGGCAGAGUUGCCCCCAGUUAUUUUAUUAUGUGGCAUGAAGGUUGAGAGUUUUUAAUGAAUGGAUAACAUAAGUGAGGCAGAUGGUGGAUCAACG
rnacentral:sRNA from 1 species